GUAAGUUGUUGAAAUAUUUAAACAAACUUAGGUUAUUUUCUUUUAUAAGAGUUUAUAAAAAUUCGUCAAAAUCACCUUGACAUGGUGGGGGUCGGUGGUUCGAAUCCACUCGGUCGUACCA
rnacentral:tRNA from 1 species